UACGGAGGGGGCUAGCGUUGUUCGGAAUUACUGGGCGUAAAGCGCACGUAGGCGGACCAGCAAGUUAGGGGUGAAAUCCCGGGGCUCAACCCCGGAACUGCCUUUAAAACUGUUGGUCUGGAGGUCGAGAGAGGUGAGUGGAAUUCCGAGUGUAGAGGUGAAAUUCGUAGAUAUUAGGAAGAACACCAGUGGCGAAGGCGGCUCACUGGUCCGGUACUGACGCUGAGGCGCGAAAGCGUGGGGAGCAAACAGG
rnacentral:rRNA from 1 species